rnacentral:rRNA from 1 species
AUUGAACGCUGGCGGCAGGCUUAACCCAUGCAAGUCGAGCGGGGAAGGGUAGCUUGCUACCUCACCUAGCGGCGGACGGGUGAGUAAUGCUUAGGCAUCUGCCAUUUAGUGGGGGACAACAUUCCGAAAGGAAUGCUAAUACCGCAUACGUCCUACGGGAGAAAGCAGGGGAUCUUCGGACCUUGCGCUAACUGAUGAGCCUAAGUCGGAUUAGCUAGUUGGUGGGGUAAAGGCCUACCAAGGCGACGAUCUGGAGCGGGUCUGAGAGGAUGAUCCGCCACACUGGGACUGAGACACGGCCCAGACUCCUACGGGAGGCAGCAGUGGGGAAUAUUGGACAAUGGGCGGAAGCCUGAUCCAGCCAUGCCGCGUGUGUGAAGAAGGCCUUAUGGUUGUAAAGCACUUUAAGCGAGGAGGAGGCUACUUAGAUUAAUACUCUAGGAUAGUGGACGUUACUCGCAGAAUAAGCACCGGCUAACUCUGUGCCAGCCGCCGCAGUAAAAC